rnacentral:rRNA from 1 species
GACGAACGCUGGCGGCGUGCUUAACACAUGCAAGUCGAACGAAGAGCGAUGGAAGCUUGCUUCUAUCAAUCUUAGUGGCGAACGGGUGAGUAACGCGUAAUCAACCUGCCCUUCAGAGGGGGACAACAGUUGGAAACGACUGCUAAUACCGCAUACGAUCUAACCUCGGCAUCGAGGAUAGAUGAAAGGUGGCCUCUAUUUAUAAGCUAUCACUGAAGGAGGGGAUUGCGUCUGAUUAGCUAGUUGGAGGGGUAACGGCCCACCAAGGCGAUGAUCAGUAGCCGGUCUGAGAGGAUGAACGGCCACAUUGGGACUGAGACACGGCCCAGACUCCUACGGGAGGCAGCAGUGGGGAAUCUUCCGCAAUGGACGAAAGUCUGACGGAGCAACGCCGCGUGAGUGAUGACGGCCUUCGGAUUGUAAAGCUCUGUUAAUCGGGACGAAAGGCCUUCUUGCGAAUAGUUAGAAGGAUUGACGGUACCGGAAUAGAAAGCCACGGCUAACUACGUGCCAGCAGCCGCGGUAAUA